GGGGGUGUAGCUCAGUGGUAGAGCAUAUGCUUAACAUGCACAAGGCCCUAAGUUUGACCCCCCCA
rnacentral:tRNA from 1 species